rnacentral:pre_miRNA from 1 species
AGACUUCUGUAUAGGUGAUGAGGUUUCGUCACACACCAGACCACAAGGACUAAUGAAACUCCCAAGAUUAGUGAAGCG